rnacentral:tRNA from 1 species
GGGCGUGUGGUCUAGUGGUAUGAUUCUCGCUUUGGGCAAAUCUCUGUGAAUAACAAAGAUGCAAGGCAUGCGAGAGGCCCUGGGUUCAAUUCCCAGCUCGCCCC